rnacentral:rRNA from 1 species
CCUACGGGAGGCAGCAGUGGGGGAUAUUGCACAAUGGAGGAAACUCUGAUGCAGCGACGCCGCGUGAGGGAAGACGGUCUUCGGAUUGUAAACCUCUGUCUUAGGGGAAGAAAAUGACGGUACCCUAAGAGGAAGCUCCGGCUAACUACGUGCCAGCAGCCGCGGUAAUACGUAGGGAGCGAGCGUUGUCCGGAAUUACUGGGUGUAAAGGGAGCGUAGGCGGGAUGGCAAGUUGGAUGUUUAAACUAACGGCUCAACUGUUAGGUGCAUCCAAAACUGCUGUUCUUGAGUGAAGUAGAGGCAGGCGGAAUUCCUAGUGUAGCGGUGAAAUGCGUAGAUAUUAGGAGGAACACCAGUGGCGAAGGCGGCCUGCUGGGCUUUAACUGACGCUGAGGCUCGAAAGCGUGGGGAGCAAACAGGAUUAGAUACCCUGGUAGUCC